AUUGAACGCUGGCGGCAGGCCUAACACAUGCAAGUCGAACGAGUGGCGGACGGGUGAGUAAUGUCUGGGACACUGCCUGGUGGAGGGGGAUAACUACUGGAAACGGUCUCUAAUACCGCAUACCCUCAGAUGUGCCCAUAUGGGUUUAGCUUGUUGGUGGGGUAACGGCUCACCAAGGCGACGAUCCCUAGCUGGUCUGAGAGGAUGAUCAGCCACACUGGAACUGAGACACGGCCCAGACUCCUACGGGAGGCAGCAGUGGGGAAUAUUGCACAAUGGGCGCAAGCCUGAUGCAGCCAUGCCGCGUGUAUGAAGAAGGCCUUAGGGUUGUAAAGUACUUUCAGCGGGGAGGCGUUACCGGCAGAAGAAGCACCGGCUAACUCCGUGCCAGCAGCCGCGGUAAUAC
rnacentral:rRNA from 1 species